rnacentral:lncRNA from 1 species
AAUUAUUAUUAAAAAAAAAAAUCAUGAAACAAGUACCUAGAGUUAACAUCUCCCCUAAAUAUGAUGAUUGAAGUUAAGAAAGUAAGUACAAGAAUGGUAAAAUCAUGUUGCAGGUGCAGCUGAAACAAAACACGAAAACAAAAGGAAUUUCAAGCAUUUUUAGUUCACUCCCAUCCCAUGCAUGCACACCGCCUAAAACAGGGAAGCCAAUCCCGGUGGGAGUGCAUACAAAAAUGAUGCCGAUGCAACCAGUAACGUGAAACCAACCAAGUGAGCAGUUUCUAACUUUGUUCCACCGGAGUUAUUAUCAGCAUUCUCUGAAGCACUUGACGGUGUCCCGGUGGAUGGCGUCGUCGGUGUUGAGGAAGAAUUUGUAAAUAUAGCCGCGUCUGGUGAGUUUGGUGCUAAUCCAAGAAGCUCUAUUCAUUCAUUCCAAACACAACAUGCACUAAUUUUAUUACAUAUCAAAGCAAAAGGAGAGAAAAGAGAGGUUACUACUUACUUGGGCAGUCAGUGACGCUAGCGUUCUUCAACUGGCAAGCAGAAGGAAGUUGAAGAAGCUUAUCUUGCUGAACGCCUAAGCUCUUAAGAUUCUGAGCCCCGGAUGCCUGGGUCUGCUGAAGAAUAUAACACAAACACUUUGGUUCUUCUUCUUUUAUACUCGAAACCGAACUGCAACACUCCUUUGAAGGU